rnacentral:rRNA from 1 species
CAGGCCUAACACAUGCAAGUCGAGCGGAGAUGAGGUGCUUGCACCUUAUCUUAGCGGCGGACGGGUGAGUAAUGCUUAGGAAUCUGCCAUUUAGUGGGGGACAACAUUCCGAAAGGAAUGCUAAUACCGCAUACGUCCUACGGGAGAAAGCAGGGGAUCUUCGGACCUUGCGCUAAAUGAUGAGCCUAAGUCGGAUCAGCUAGUUGGUGGGGUAAAGGCCUACCAAGGCGACGAUCUGUAGCGGGUCUGAGAGGAUGAUCCGCCACACUGGGACUGAGACACGGCCCAGACUCCUACGGGAGGCAGCAGUGGGGAAUAUUGGACAAUGGGCGGAAGCCUGAUCCAGCCAUGCCGCGUGUGUGAAGAAGGCCUUUUGGUUGUAAAGCACUUUAAGCGAGGAGGAGGCUCUCCUAGUUAAUACCUAGGAUGAGUGGACGUUACUCGCAGAAUAAGCACCGGCUAACUCUGUGCCAGCAGCCGCGGUAAU